rnacentral:rRNA from 1 species
AGUGAACGCUGGCGGCGGGCCUAAUACAUGCAAGUCGAACGGCAGCACAGUGGAGCUUGCUCCAUGGGUGGCGAGUGGCGGACGGGUGAGGAAUACAUGGGAAUCUGCCCAGUAGUGGGGGAUAACGUAGGGAAACUUACGCUAAUACCGCAUGCGCCCUUCGGGGGAAAGCCGGGGACCUUCGGGCCUGGCGCGAUUGGAUGAGCACAUGUUCGAUUAGCUAGUUGGCGGGGUAAAGGCCCACCAAGGCGACGAUCGAUAGCUGGUCUGAGAGGAUGAUCAGCCACACUGGGACUGAGACACGGCCCAGACUCCUACGGGAGGUAGCAGUAGGGAAUAUUGGCCAAUGGGCGCAAGCCUGAUCCAGCCAUGCCGCGUGAGUGAAGAAGGCCCUCGGGUUGUAAAGCUCUUUUGUCCGGGAAGAAAAGCAUCGGGCUAAUACCUCGGUGUUCUGACGGUACCGGAAGAAUAAGCACCGGCUAACUUCGUG